AUUGAACGCUGGCGGCAGGCCUAACACAUGCAAGUCGAGCGGAUGAAGAGAGCUUGCUCUCUGAUUUAGCGGCGGACGGGUGAGUAACGCCUAGGAAUCUGCCUGGUAGUGGGGGAUAACGUCCGGAAACGGGCGCUAAUACCGCAUACGUCCUACGGGAGAAAGCAGGGGACCUUCGGGCCUUGCGCUAUCAGAUGAGCCUAGGUCGGAUUAGCUAGUUGGUGAGGUAAUGACUCACCAUGGCUACGAUCCGUAACUGGUCUGAGAGGAUGAUCAGUCACACUGGAACUGAGACACGGUCCAGACUCCUACGGGAGGCAGCAGUGGGGAAUAUUGGACAAUGGGCGAAAGCCUGAUCCAGCCAUGCCGCGUGUGUGAAGAAGGUCUUCGGAUUGUAAAGCACUUUGAGUUGGGAGGAAGGGCAGUAAGUUAAUACCUUGCUGUUUUGACGUUACCGACAGAAUAAGCACCGGCUAACUUCGUGCCAGCCGCCGCAGUAAGAC
rnacentral:rRNA from 1 species